rnacentral:rRNA from 1 species
UGGGGAAUCUUGGACAAUGGGGGCAACCCUGAUCCAGCGAUGCCGCGUGAGUGAAGAAGGCCUUCGGGUCGUAAAGCUCUUUAGGCUGGGAAGAAGGUAGUUUGAGGAAAUGCUUACUAUUUGACGGUACCAGCAGAAUAAGCACCGGCAAACUCUGUGCCAGCAGCCGCGGUAAUACAGAGGGUGCGAGCGUUAAUCGGAGUUACUGGGCGUAAAGGGCGCGUAGGCGGUCUAGUGUGUGUGAUGUGAAAGCCCCGGGCUUAACCUGGGAAGUGCAUCGCAAACUACUAGACUGGAGUAGAUGAGAGGGUGGCGGAAUUUCCGGUGUAGCGGUGAAAUGCGUAGAGAUCGGAAGGAACGUCAAUGGCGAAGGCAGCCACCUGGCAUCAUACUGACGCUGAGGCGCGAAAGCGUGGGGAGCGAACAGGAUUAGAUACCCCUGUAGUCC